rnacentral:lncRNA from 1 species
CCAGGCCAGCUGCCCCUCGACGGGCAACUCCAGGCAGGGCCUGAGGUCUCAGCCCUGCCCUGUCUGUAAGCCUCCAAGCACGUAGCUUUGAGCUGUCUGAGGGUAACGCUUUCCCGAGCUAAAAUUUCUGACCCCUGACAUUGGCCUUGAACAAGAUGGAGGCUUUGGAAUCUGAGGGUGUGAGUCGCAUUGCUGUGGACUAUGUGGAAGGCAUCCUGCAGCCCACGCCCACUUGUGACUCCUGGGAUCAGAUCUGGAGCUUCCAAGCCAGGCCUGACGACCUGCUCAUCUCUACCUACCCGAAAGCAGGAACAACGUGGACGCAGGAGAUUGUGGACUUGAUACAAAACGGGGGUGAUGUCAACCAAAGCCAGAGGGCACCCACACAUGAGCGAUUUCCCUUCAUCGAGUGGAUAAUCCCUUCCCUAGGAUCUGGCUUGGAACAAGCGAAUGCAAUGACCUCACCCCGGAUGUUGAAGACACAUCUCCCCUUCCACUUGCUGCCACCAUCUUUCCUGGAGAAAAACUGUAAGAUAAUCUAUGUAGCCAGGAAUCCCAAGGACAACAUGGUGUCUUAUUACCACUUCCACAGGAUGAAUAGAAACCUUCCUGCUCCAGGCACCUGGGAAGAAUACUUUGAGAGUUUUCUGACUGGGAAAGUGUGCUGGGGCUCCUGGUUCGACCAUGUGAAGGGCUGGUGGCACGCCAAGGACCAGCACCGCAUCCUCUACCUCUUCUAUGAGGACAUGAAGGAGAACCCAAAGCAUGCAAUUCAGAAGCUGGCAGAAUUUAUUGGAAAGAGCUUAGAUGAUAAAGUUCUGGAUAAAAUUGUUCACCACACUUCAUUUAGCGUCAUGAAGCAGAACCCGAUGGCAAACUACACAUCGAUUCCGGCUGAAUUCAUGAACCAGUCGAUUUCUCCAUUCAUUAGAAAAGGGGUCGUCGGGGAUUGGAAGAACCACUUCACCGUGGCCCAGAACGAGAGAUUUGAUGAUGAUUACAGGAAGAACAUGGCUGACACCACUCUAACUCUCCACUUUCGAUUCUCUUAAGGAAGGAAAAGCAUCAGAUUUAAUUGGUAUAAAUGUUGAUUGCCCUGACCUCGUGAUAUUGAAUUCAGGUGGAGGGACUAAGUGCUUCUUGUGUCUGCUUUUGUUCACACUAAAAAAAGAUGGAGCUAACAGUGGUUGGGGCCAGGUGGAAGGCGGAGACUUGCAACCCUGGCAUCCUUACUAAUGAUCGUGAUGCAUCAGUUUUCUACAGACCACACGCGUGUGAACACGUUAAAUAUGCUCUGGUCAUCACAUAAGAAUAUACUCAAGUUUUCAGAUUC